rnacentral:rRNA from 1 species
CCUACGGGUAGCAGCAGUGGGGAAUAUUGCGCAAUGGGCGAAAGCCUGACGCAGCGACGCCGCGUGAGGGAUGAAGGUCUUCGGAUCGUAAACCUCUGUCAGCAGGGAAGAACGGUCACUGUGCUAAUCAGCAGUGAAUUGACGGUACCUGCAAAGGAAGCAUCGGCUAACUCCGUGCCAGCAGCCGCGGUAAUACGGAGGGUGCGUGCGUUAAUCGGAAUUACUGGGCGUAAAGCGCUCGUAGGCGGUAUGUCAAGUCAAGGGGGAAAUCCCCGCGCUCCACGUGGGAACUGCCUUUGAAACUGGCAAACUGGAGUGUGUGAGAGGAUAGUGGAAUGCCAGGUGUAGGAGUGAAAUCCGUAGAUAUCUGGAAGAACAUCAGUGGCGAAGGCGACUAUCUGGCACAUAACUGACGCUGAGGAGCGAAAGCGUGGGUAGCAAACAGGAUUAGAUACCCUAGUAGUC